UUCGCCGACCCCUUCUCUCCCCUCCUCCUCCUCCUCUCUAUCUACCACUCUCGCUGGAGACCACCGGCAGCCCGAUCCCCUUGCACUGCCGCCUCAUGGAGGCCCAACCUUCUCACGCGCACGCACCCGGAGCCCCCGUGCUCCUCUCACUGCAGCCGCGGGGGACCGGAGAACUGGUGAGGCAGCGGCGGCGCAACCCUAGAGCGAAUGACCGUACCGUAGGUGCACAGGGUCCUGGGCGAGGCUAGCGCCGGCGGAUCGAGACGGCUGGCACAGAGGAUCGGAGGAUCUCGACAUGGGGCGGAGUUUGACCCCGGUGCACGCCACAUGCGUCGCACGGGCAUGCGCCGGUGCAAGGGCUAGCGCGAGACCUUUCCACGCCAUCGGCAAGGAUACCCAACCCCCCUGCGUUGCGCUGGUGGUUUGGUGGAUGGAGCACGGCUCGCAGUUGCGGAUCUUUCAAAUGCAUCAGCUAGCUUCCUUCAACUAGGGUCCCAACCUCCACAGCGACGCACUGGUGAACAGGUUGCACCACUUAGGUGCAGAUAUUGUCAUGGCUAUUAGGUUCUAGAGGAGGCGUGAAGACUUGUUUUCGAUAUGUUUAGAUGACAGUCCCUUCAGGUUCGAAAUGCAUUAUGUGUUUUUUCAAGGGAGGAGAGGGUGAAACUGAAAAAACUGAUGUGCUGAAUGACGGUACUUUAUUCUAAGGGUGCCUCAUCAUGUAUUAUUUUUGCUUGAUAUUUGUGUUCUAAUAUACCUGAUGGUGUUUGAUGUCUCUUUUUAGCCUGAAAUGACGACACACCUUUGAUGCGGAAUGAUA